ACGGGAGGCAGCAGUGGGGGAUAUUGCACGAUGGAGGAAACUCUGAUGCAGCAACGCCGCGUGAGGGAAGAAGGUUUUCGGAUUGUAAACCUCUGUUUUUAGUGAAGAAACAAAUGACGGUAGCUAAAGAGGAAGCCACGGCUAACUACGUGCCAGCAGCCGCGGUAAUACGUAGGUGGCAAGCGUUGUCCGGAAUUACUGGGUGUAAAGGGAGCGCAGGCGGGACUGCAAGUUGGAUGUGAAAUACCGAGACUUAACUUCGGGGCUGCAUCCAAAACUGUAGUUCUUGAGUGAAGUAGAGGUUGGCGGAAUUCCGAGUGUAGCGGUGAAAUGCGUAGAUAUUCGGAGGAACACCAGUGGCGAAGGCGGCCAACUGGGCGUUAACUGACGCUGAGGCUCGAAAGUAUGGGGAGCAAACAGGAUUAGAUACCCUGGUA
rnacentral:rRNA from 1 species